AUGCGAUCCAGAAUUCAAGUUGAACUUGUUGCACGGCACAAGACAUAUUUGGAAGAACAUAUACAAGUUCUGGAACAAGUCAUGGAAAAAAUCAAACACGCUAUAGAAAACAGUCAGAAUUGGAUAGAAGAUAAAAGUGGCAACCCGUCUAUCACCUACAGCGAACUUUGCCAGGAACUAGAGGCAGCUACAUUUAUUUUGUUGAAAUCAUCAUCUGCAAUCAUAAGUAAA